rnacentral:rRNA from 1 species
CCUACGGGCGGCAGCAGUGGGGAAUAUUGGGCAAUGGGCGCAAGCCUGACCCAGCAACGCCGCGUGAAGGAAGAAGGCUUUCGGGUUGUAAACUUCUUUUAAGGGGGAAGAGCAGAAGACGGUACCCCUUGAAUAAGCCACGGCUAACUACGUGCCAGCAGCCGCGGUAAUACGGAGGUGGCAAGCGUUGUCCGGAUUGACUGGGUGUAAAGGGCGUGCAGGCGGGGAGACAAGUCAGAUGUGAAAUCCACGGGCUCAACCAGUGAACUGCAUUUGAAACUGUUUCCCUUGAGUGUCGGAGAGGUAAGCGGAAUUCCUGGUGUAGCGGUGAAAUGCGUAGAGAUAAGGAAGAACACCAGUGGCGAAGGCGGAUUACUGGACGAUAACUGACGGUGAGGCGCGAAAGCGUGGGGAGCAAACAGGAUUAGAUACCCGAGUAGUC